AUUGAACGCUGGCGGCAUGCUUUACACAUGCAAGUCGAACGGCAGCGCGGGCUUCGGCCUGGCGGCGAGUGGCGAACGGGUGAGUAAUGCAUCGGAACGUGCCCAGUAGUGGGGGAUAGCCCGGCGAAAGCCGGAUUAAUACCGCAUACGACCUGAGGGUGAAAGCGGGGGACCGAAAGGCCUCGCGCUAUUGGAGCGGCCGAUGUCGGAUUAGCUAGUUGGUGGGGUAAAGGCCUACCAAGGCGACGAUCCGUAGCUGGUCUGAGAGGACGACCAGCCACACUGGGACUGAGACACGGCCCAGACUCCUACGGGAGGCAGCAGUGGGGAAUUUUGGACAAAGGGGGCAACCCUGAUCCAGCCAUGCCGCGUGCGGGAAGAAGGCCUUCGGGUUGUAAACCGCUUUUGUUCGGGAAGAAAUCCUCUGGGCUAAUACCCCGGGGGGAUGACGGUACCGGAAGAAUAAGCACCGGCUAACUACGUG
rnacentral:rRNA from 1 species